GACCCACUUCACGACGGUCGUGGCGCGGCCUGCAAAGCCGUGGUGAUCACCGGGUUCGACUCCCGGGUGGGUCUCC
rnacentral:tRNA from 1 species